rnacentral:rRNA from 1 species
AUUGAACGCUGGCGGCAGGCCUAACACAUGCAAGUCGAGCGGCAGCGGGGGAAAGCUUGCUUUCCCGCCGGCGAGCGGCGGACGGGUGAGUAAUGUCUGGGAAACUGCCUGAUGGAGGGGGAUAACUACUGGAAACGGUAGCUAAUACCGCAUAACGUCUUCGGACCAAAGUGGGGGACCUUCGGGCCUCAUGCCAUCAGAUGUGCCCAGAUGGGAUUAGCUAGUAGGUGGGGUAACGGCUCACCUAGGCGACGAUCCCUAGCUGGUCUGAGAGGAUGACCAGCCACACUGGAACUGAGACACGGUCCAGACUCCUACGGGAGGCAGCAGUGGGGAAUAUUGCACAAUGGGCGCAAGCCUGAUGCAGCCAUGCCGCGUGUAUGAAGAAGGCCUUCGGGUUGUAAAGUACUUUCAGCGGGGAGGAAGGUGUUGUGGUUAAUAACCGCAGCAAUUGACGUUACCCGCAGAAGAAGCACCGGCUAACUCCGUGCCAGCCGCCGCCGUAAAAC